GAGGGCGGGAGGGCACUAACACAGGAAGCACCUCUAGUGACCGUCUGAGUGACUGUCACUAGCAGUGUCACUUUGAAGCAAUGUAAACACUGCCUUUUGUCUGAAAAGUCAGUGUUUACGUUGAAAAGCCUGUAGGGACAUGCUAUAGACACCAGUACCACCACAUUAAGCUGUGUGUGUGUGUGUAUCAAUGAGCUUGUGUGUGUCACUGAAAUGUCAGUGAAAUUGCCUGUGUCUGCAUGUGCGUAUGCUUACUGUAUAAUUAAACGUUUUACCCUGAAAGGACC